GCCAGACUCCUACGGGAGGCAGCAGUGAGGAAUAUUGGUCAAUGGGCGGAAGCCUGAACCAGCCAAGUCGCGUGAGGGAAUAAGGCCCUACGGGUCGUAAACCUCUUUUGCCGGGGAGCAAGGGCGGGGACGUGUCCCGGCCCGGAGAGUACCCGGAGAAAAAGCAUCGGCUAACUCCGUGCCAGCAGCCGCGGUAAUACGGAGGAUGCGAGCGUUAUCCGGAUUUAUUGGGUUUAAAGGGUGCGUAGGCGGACAGUCAAGUCAGCGGUAAAAAUGCGGUGCUCAACGCCGUACAGCCGUUGAAACUGGCAGUCUUGAGUGGGCGAGAAGUAUGCGGAAUGCGUGGUGUAGCGGUGAAAUGCAUAGAUAUCACGCAGAACCCCGAUUGCGAAGGCAGCCUUCCGGCGCCCUACUGACGCUGAGGCACGAAAGUGCGGGGAUCGAACAGGAUUAGAUACCCGAGUAUA
rnacentral:rRNA from 1 species